GUCACUCCGUUUAGUCCACAGAGUUCAACAUCCUGAAGCUGAUGACAGAACUUUCCCAAGAAAGCGAGACUUGCAUCCCCAAACCCAGGGCAGCAUCGGAUUGACAGAGAACGUAAAGAGCUGCAACUGGGUGAUGGCAGAGAGGAUUCUGAGUUGAAGUCACUGAUGCCCAGACAGUUUGCCAAAG